rnacentral:lncRNA from 1 species
CUGCCCCUAGGCAUAUGGAAUUCCCAGGCCAGAUAUCAGAUUUGAGCCACAGUCUAGACCUAAGCCAUAGCUGCAGCAAUGCUAGACCCUUAACUCGCUGCACCAGGCCAGGGAUCAAACCUGUGUCCCAGCACUCCUAAGACACUGCCAAUCCCAUUACACCAUGGGGAAACUCCUCUUCUGCAUUUUAUUGUUCAAAGCAAGUCACAAGGUCAGCCCAGACUCAAGAGUGGGGAGGUAGAGCACUUCUUUAUAGGAGAUGCUAAAAUUUCACAUCCCAAGGAGCAUGGUCACAGGGAGGGGUAAUAAACAAGGGCCAUUAGGACAACUGAUCUAUCACACCCACCAGCAUUUGGUAUAAAAGAAUUAGUUCUGUGAGUAAAUCAAAAGAACUUGGUUAAAGGCAAUGCAAUAUCCUGGAAGGAAAAAAAAAAAAAAAACAUAUUAGCGAGAAAACUGCUAAAACUGCUGAAAUCUGAACAAAGGCUGUAUUUUAGUUAAGAGUAAUAUUAGGAGUUCCCAUUGUGGCUCAGCGGAAACAAAUCCGACUAGGAACCAUGAGGUUGCGGGUUCAAUCCCUGGCCUCGCUCAAAGGGUUAAGGAUCCCGCAUCGCCGUGAGCUGUGUUGUGGGCCAGCAGUAACAGCUCUGAUUAGACCACUAGCCUGGGAAUUACCAUAUGCCCCGGAUGUGGCCCUAAAAAGACAAAAGACAAAAAAAAAAAAAAAAAAAAAUUCUUGGGAGUUCCCGUCGUGGCGCAGUGGUUAACGAAUCUGACUAGGAACCAUGAGGUUGCGGGUUCAAUCCCUGGCCUCGCUCAAAGGGUUAAGGAUCCCGCAUCGCCGUGAGCUGUGUUGCCAUUGGUGGUGUGCAGCGCCCUUAACUGGGUGCAUCCCUGAGUCCCAGAGGAUGCUCUAGCCUGUAUUCAGAAACCCCUGUGGCCUGGGAAAGUUGGGCAGCACAUGGGAACUGAAAAGCCAGAGCAGGUGGCUUGGCCGGGGCCAUGUCUCUGCAGACCUCCCAGGCAACAGCUUUGGCAGGAGAGGUGCCUGGCUCUGUGGGGCAAGUGGCUGUGCCAGGAUCCUCUCUCAGUGUGACUGAAGGGGUGCUGAGCAAGCCGACUGGGGUAGUUAGAAGAUGCAACACACAGCUACAAGGCUGCAGAGCUUGGGGACUCUCUUUUCUUCCCUUUUUAAAUGAGUAAAAUCCAGAUUUCACCAUCUCCUUCUGACUUUGUGAGAGGGACAAACUGUGAUCUUCACUAUGCCGUGGCUCUGAGUCUAACAUGGAGGCUACACAAGACACAUGAACGUGAUUGUGGUACAGUGUGAUAAGGUCCAUGAAGUGAGCAUAACUUUCUUGUCUGCUCUGCUCUCUUCCUUCAGGAAAUGCCAACCUCCUUCCCGAAUGGUUCAGAUGGGGUUUGUCCCACACCUCCUCCCCUGUGGGCCCCAGAGGCAGGUUUAUGACAUAUGACUCAGACCUGGUUGCUAAGAGCAACCCAUCCCUCUGAGCACUGUAAUUGGUCAAGUGAGAGGCCCGUGCUCCAAGUGGGCUAAUCAGAUUCUCCAUCACAUUUGAGAUACAACUUCUGGGAAAAGAAAGGUCUUCUUUCUCUGGUACUAGAAGCAGUUAUAAAAAUAUAGACUGUCUGACACUAGAGACGACCAGAGGGAAGAGCCAAGAUAUGGAGAGAAAAGUGUCACAAGGUAGCUGAAGCUCCUGGAAGCAGGCAAGCCUGAGGCCAGAGACCCCACUUGGGUUUCCAUUCAUCUGAAAAUAAUCCAGCUUGAGCUGGGUUUCUCUCGCUUGCACCCACAAGAAUCCUGCCUAAGGCAAAGAUCAGUAGCUGGAAGUGGGGUGUGAGAAUUGGCAGGCAUGACGACGUGGAUUUGGUAAAGAACUAGAAUUGGCAGGCAUGACAACGUGGAUUUGGUUAAGAACAUGUGGGAUGUGGGGCAGUGAAAGCAGCCUUUCAUUACCUGGGAAGGCAACAGUACUCUGUAGGUGGAAACAAAGCAGUUGGACAGAUUUUUCUUAUCUGUGUCCUGGGAUUCAAUGCAGUUCACUUCUGAUGAAGUUAAAAUGGGUUGACUGUUUAGCCAACCUUCAACAUAGUCCUAAAAGAUUCAAGCCAAGCUUGCCCUCUGAGAACAGAAAGGAAGGCUCCAUAUGGUCUCACCAAAGAGAUCAUUUCUUUCUCCAGCAAUCUUUAUGAAGACACAAAACCCGAUAUCUCUAUUUUGAAAGGAGAUAAUAUUAAGAUGCAGGAAGAGCUAGAGCCCUGGGGAAACCUAAUUUCCCCACUCCGUACCAAACACUUCUGGCCAUAUGCUUCCCACCUCAAAAAGACAUAAUUUUGCCUUUUUAGAGAGACAUCCCAUGAGCCUGAGCCCCACCUCAUUGUCCUAGAAUGUUCCGAGGACAGGGACCAAAAGGCAAGCUGGUAAAGACAUGGCUAAGAGACAGAAACUGCAAAACGAGGUUGGAAUCAGGGACCAUGUGAUUGUGUCUUAGUUGCUAGCCCACUGGAUUUGUAGAAAUUAAAUAAGCCAGCCUCCCUCUGAGGUUUUAAGGAAGUGUUAUUUCCAGAGAUGCAGCAAGCCCUGCAAAUAGGCUUGUGAUUGAUUGCUCAACUCCUGAGGCAGUCCCCAGGCCCCCAAACUUGCACCAAAAGGAAAAGGGGUAGAGUUCUCCAGCAGCUCUUCCAGAACUUUCUGGGUAAGUUCAAGGAAAGGAUGCAGGAAGUCUGCCUCUGGCUCGAGCCACCAUGCAGUGUGAUCAGCAGUAAACCAGAUACUGCAUUUUCAUCCCCAUCUGGCUUGUGUGUCUAACAUACAAUUGAUUCCGAAUCUGGAAAGGAUGAAAGGUAAGUAACUAAGCUCUGCUUCAAACUCCAACACCAGGGAGCUGGUACUUUAUCCUAUAGGCUUUCGGGAACAGUAGGGACUUAUCACCAGUUUUAAGCAGGUUUAAGCAGAUAAAACCUGUGGCGUGUUUUGUAAAGGCAACUAUGGCAGCAUCGUGGGUUAGCAGGAAAAGGGUAAGCCUGGAAAAAUGAACCAAAAAAUUAGUAAGUGAUAGCAAUAGGAAAACUAAUAAAGGUUUGAAUGAGCAGAGUUACAAUGAGUAGGGAAGCCCUGAGGGACCCCGAGAUGAUACAGAAGAUGAAAAGCUCACUGAUGUAGGAAAUGCUGCAAAAGGAAUACUUCCUGUAAGGGGGCAGGAAGAUUAAACUCUGUGGAUUGUAAAUGGAUACAAGUCACUCAUUUUGUUUUUGUUGGAGGGAGGGAAGAAGCAGACAGCUGGAAUUCUGCCAAAACAGAAGGAAAGAUUUUUAAGUCCCUGUUUAUUUUACACUUGAAAAGGAUUUGUCCUGAAAAUUGCCAAGCUAUAAAGAUACUCUUAAGGGACUUUGGCAAGAUAUACACCAAAGAAGGCUUUGGUUAGAUACUGAAAUGCAGCCCCUGGGACCUUAAAUUAGAGCAGGCACUGGAGAGCCCCUAGGCCCAUUGCACAAGGUCUUAGGCUGAAUAAUGAGGUUGAUUACAUCAUUUUUAGGUUUCCUUCAACCUGCAUGAGAGCAUGGUGCUAAGUGAUCCUUGAGGACUCAGCAGACUAGAGAAAUAUGCGGACCAGAAAAUUUACAACACAGCUUUUGUGAUUUAUAAAUGCUAGAAGAGAUGAUUACCUGUCCCAGGGAGUUUAGCCUUUGUCCUGUUUCUUCAACAUCGCUUCCUUUACUGGGAUUCUGUUAUUAAACACUGCAUUUCUCAGGACUGUACCUUUCCUGCCUUGUCACAGAUUUAAGUCCCUAAAUAGUUCUACUAGGGUGUUGAAUAAAUACCCACUCAUCUCUCAGGCAAACGUAGAUUCAGUUUAGCAGUUACAGUUUGUUCAUCAUAGAGGGUCCAUGCAGGGAUUAAAUGAAAUCUUGCAGGGUGAGUGCUUAGCUUAGAUCCCAGAAUGUAAUAAGCAAUCACAUAUGGCCGCUUGCCUCAGUUACAUAUAGCACUGAGAACCUUGGCUUUAACUACAAAAGUGUUUAGCGAAUAGACACUUUGCUAUGACAAAUACCUGGUAACCCAUCCCUAUUUCUACUCCUGUUUGCACUUCUUCCCCCUUAGAUGUGUCUCCAAAAUGAAAUUUAUCAUAAGAAUUCAGAAACAAAGAUGUUUAAAUGAAAAACAUAACAAAAUGAAACAACACACAAACUUAAGGUAAUCAAAAUACCACCCAAAACAUUCUUUGGCUAGGUCCAAGAUUAUUAUUCACUAGCCCAUUUAAGUUUCUAACUCUUUCCAAAGAGUAAAAAUUGUUUCUCAUCAUCAGUAAGGAGACUUAAAGUUCUUUCCCAGAAACAGCUUAAAGUUCUUUCCCCAACUUGGCCAGCAGCACUUGAAUUCAGGGUUUCCGCCCUAGAAAGAAUGUGGUUUUGUCCAAGUGGGAUGAGUCACUGAAUUCUAAGUACAGGAGUUUUCAUCUUUAUAGGAAAAGCAGCAAGGAGUUGUUUUUAUGGUGAAGUAAUGCUUAAAGUGGACCAGGAUGAGACCAUCUCCUAUCUUCAUUUCCUUGCCUGGCAGUUAGGAGGGGAAAGGCAGAACUGAUGAGAGAGAAAGAGAAUAUUUGAACCCCAGCAAUGGGCCACUUGGCUUUGUGGAUUUUCUUAGCCAAGUCAUUUUGGUCAAGAAAAAAGGUUCUUGAGUGACGGUAUAGACCAUUAAGCCACUCUGGGAUGCCCAUUAAAUGCUUGUUGGCUGUCUUUAGGGAGCCCUAAACCUCAUCAAGUCCUGCAGUCCUAUUUAUUGCUGAGAGCUCUAUAGAUAGACUGCAUUCCACCUCAACCGUCUUGGGUCUCUAUCUAUAGAGCUCGACCAUGUUCUUGAGAUUUGCAAUAGUUCAUCAUGGCUCCAAUAUCAAUCAUGUAAAGAAUGUAAAGAUGCGUUUUUGUUGAGUAGUCCAUAAGGAAAAAAUGAAGUUUUCAGAUGAACUCAUGAAUAUGUAAUUCACCUCGGCUUCUUUUUUAAAUACCAUUGCUGGAGUUCCCAUCGUGGUGCAGUGGUUAACGAAUCUGACUAGGAACCAUGAGGUUGCGGGUUCGGUCCCUGCCCUUGCUCAGUGGGUUAAGGGUCCGGCGUUGCCGUGAGCUGUGGUGUAGGUUGCAGACGCGGCUCGGAUCCCUCGUUGCUGUGGCUCUGGCUAGGCUGGUGGCUACAGCUGUGAUUAGACCCCCAGCCUGGGAACCUCCAUAUGCCGUGGGAGCGGCCCAAGAAAUAGCAACAACAACAACAAAAGAAAAAAAAAAAAAAAUAAAUAAAUAAAUAAAUACCAUUGCUGAGGAGGGAUCAAUUUAAUUUUAUGGAUGGUCUUCUAUAUAAUACUUCAUGCAAUCAUCACAUCUACUUCAAAAAAGGUAAAAUUGAUAAUAUGGGUUCUAUAUGAUAGAAUCACAGUACAGGCAUGCCGUGAACACUUCCUAAAAUGUGAGCUGCUCUGCUAGAUGCUUUGGGAAAUACAAAGCUGAGUAAGCUGAGUCUUUGCUCGCUAAUAGCUUAUAAUCAAGAGGAAAGACAAAGCAAAAGCACGUGUAACUACAAUACCAAGUGGGCUAUGAAAAGCUUUUGGUUGCUUUCCAUGCUCUAAUGGGAAAGCAUUGAAAGAAUGUAUACAGAGUGACACACGAUUGUAACUGCAUUUUAGAAAGAUCACCCAGCCACUAGGAUGGAGAACAGAUUUAAUGGGAGGAAGAGAAGCAUUAGCAGGUUACUGCAAUAAUUGAGGCAAAAUAUAAAAGAGGCUCAACAUGAUGUAUGGAAUACAGAGGGAAUGUGUAAAAAGAUUUUAAUCAGAGAUUAAUAGGACUGGGUGGAAAAUGGUCAAUUGAUGAGGGAUGCUGAGGGAAUGUAAAAAGGAAGAGCUAGACCUCUGCCUUCGGCAGCUGAGAAGGAAGCGAUGUGUUCACUGUAGGAAAACACGGCAGGGAUGGAGAAGGGUAUUCAGUCCAGGUGGAGACAAAAGAGCAAGAGAAGCCCUAGGGAGCAGGGACACCUAGGACAGAGCGUGGGCUACGUGCACCAGCUUCACAGCAGACCAGGUCAGGAAAGCAAGCUGUGGGCCCUAGAUGCCAAGCACAGAGUUGGACUUUAAUUCAGUGAGCAAGAGAGAGGCUUUAAACAGUAGAAAUUACUAAAGCAGAUCUCUUGCAAAACUAAACUUACCAACAAAGAGACUAAGAUUCCAACAGGUUAAAAAUAGUAAAAGAUACCUAGUUAGUGUCAGAGAUGGAACUAAAACUCAGGUCUUUGGACUCCUGGUCCAUUGUCUGCAAGGACAGGGAACUUUGCUUGCUUCUCAGAAUUCUAAAUGCACCCCCCUCUCUCCAGGAAGUCCUGCUCCCUAAUGGAUCCCCCAGCCACGGUAUUUAGUUUGGAUCAGAUAUUUAGCACAUUAAGAAAAUGAAUGGAUACUUCCACUAUUUUUUUAGUAACAACCAAAGAUCCCAGUUCAAUGUUUUAAUUACAAAUGCUCAAAAAAUACCAGUGAUUGCUAAAUGCAGAUAAUGGCAAUGCUCUUUAAGACUCCGUCAAAGGUAGGAGUCUAGAGGGAAUAAAGAGUAUAAAAACACUUUUAAAAUGAUAAAGUGGCUUGCAAACACACAUUAGUAUUAUAAAACAACAGUAAUAAGAGAUAUAUUUUAUUGAAGUUUUAUCCUGUGAUAGAAAUUAGACCCUGCAUGAUUUCAUUUUGUCUCCACAAAUACCUAUUUUACAUAUGAGAAAACAGACAGAAAGUUUAAAUAAUUUGCUCACUGCCAUGUAGUAAAAUUUAAGCCCCAAGAGAACCCUCCUACACUGCUGGUGGGAAUGUAAAUUGGAGCAGCCACUAUGGAAAAUAGUAAGGAGGUUCCUUAUCAAACUAAAAAACAGAGUUACCACAUGAUCCAGCAAUCCCACUCCCGGGUAUAUAUCCAGAAAAAAUUAAAACUCUAAUUCAAAAAGAUACACAUACCCCAAUGUUCAUAGCAGCACUAUUUACGAUGGCCAAGACAUGGAAGCAACCUAAAUGUCCAUCAACAGAUAAAUGGAUAAAGAAGAUGUGGUAUACACACACACACACACACACACACAAUGGAAUACUACCCAGCCAUAAAAAAGAAAGAAAUGCCAUUUGCAGUAACAUGGAUGUAUCUAGAGAUUAUCACACUAAGUGAAGUAAGUCAGAUAAAGACAAAUAUUAUAUGAUAUCACUUACAAGAGGAAUCUAAAAAAGAUAGUACAAAUGAACUUUACAAAGCAGAAACAGACUCACAGACAAAGAAAACAAACUUAUGGUAACCAAAGGGGAAGGAAGGGAUAAACUGGGAGUAGGAGAUUAACAGAUGCACACUACCAUGUAUAAAAUAGAUACAGUGAUUCAUUGUAUUGCACAGGGAAGUAUACUCAAUACCUUGUAAUAAACUUGUAAUGGAAAAGAAUAGAAAAAAAGAGUUCCUGUUGUGGUGCAGCAGAAACGAAUCUGUCUAGGAACCAGGAGGUUGCGGGUUCGAUCCCUGGCCUCACUCAGUGGGUUAAGGAUCAGGCGUUGCCAUGAGCUGUGGUGUAGGUUGCAGACACAGCUCAGAUCUGGCGUUGCUAUGGCCCUGGUGUAGGCCAGCAGCUACAGCUCCAAUUUGACCCCUAGCCUGGGAACCUCCAUAUGCCAUGGGUGCAGCCCUAAAAAGACAAAAGACAAAAAAGGAAAUAAGAACAGAGAUACAUACAUGUGUUUACAUAUAACCAAAUCACUUCAUUGUACACUUGACAACUAUACUUCAAUAAAUAUAAAAAAAGGAAUUUAAGCCCAGAUCUAACUCUAGAACUCAGCUUGUCAAUGGUCUGCUAUUCUGCCCUUCAAAGUAGUUUGCUAGAAAGAGUUCAAAAGAAGCCAGAAAGAGAGCAGCAAGGUUAUGUUCUGGGGGUUUGUGUGUGUGUUUUUCUUUGGUUUGUUUGUUUGUUUUUGUUUUUUAGUCAAGACAACAAGCAGUGAUUUUCAUGGGGCUGUGCCAGCCAUUAUAGCAGAAAGUUGUUUUUUACUCAGAGCCACAGUGAGAAUCUACCAACUCAGAAACAACAUUCCCAAUUGCAGCUGAACUAUUUGGGAAGAACAACAAGCUCUUACUACACUGGAAAUAGAGACUAGGGAGGAGGACAGAAUGAGAGGGCAGUGCACUGACAUCAAUCUCAUUUACUUUAAAAAAGCACUUAGAUGGACAAAAACAAUCAGGAAAUCUCAAUAAACCAACUUCUAAUCAGUGUGUGUACUUUAUGCAUGCAUAAGCUCGCCUCCACGCAUGCACUUGUGCAGAACUUGAAGAGAAGCCCUGGAAAACUGAACAGCUAAAGUCAACAUAAAGUAGUGGGUUUUCCUGUGAACUUUUCAGAACUACCAUUUUCAUGGCAUAAAAUGCUGUUUUUUGGCUCUCCCUUUUUAUUAAGGCCCUUGGGUAGACUUUUUUUUAAUGGAUGUCAUUAUUUGCUAAAGUAAAUUUAAGAGAGAAAUUUCCAUGAGAGAAAAAUGAUGAGUAUUUUAAACAAACAUGAGUAAUUUAACUUUACCUCAGCAGCUCUCUUUACCAUGUUUAUUCAUGAGCAGGCAGUGAAUUUUAAAUCUGCCCCUCUGCAGUCCAUCUCUUGAGAAGAAUGAAGGUAGAGC